rnacentral:rRNA from 1 species
GUGGGGAAUCUUCCGCAAUGGACGAAAGUCUGACGGAGCAACGCCGCGUGAGUGAUGAAGGUCUUCGGAUUGUAAAGCUCUGUUAAUCGGGACGAAAGAGCCUAGUGUGAAUAAUGCUAGGAAGUGACGGUACCGGAAUAGAAAGCCACGGCUAACUACGUGCCAGCAGCCGCGGUAAUACGUAGGUGGCAAGCGUUGUCCGGAAUUAUUGGGCGUAAAGCGCGCGCAGGCGGAUCUGCCAGUCUGUCUUAAAAGUUCGGGGCUUAACCCCGUGAUGGGAUGGAAACUACAGAGCUAGAGUAUCGGAGAGGAAAGUGGAAUUCCUAGUGUAGCGGUGAAAUGCGUAGAUAUUAGGAAGAACACCAGUGGCGAAGGCGACUUUCUGGACGAAAACUGACGCUGAGGCGCGAAAGCCAGGGGAGCGAACGGGAUUAGAAACCCGAGUAGUCC